rnacentral:rRNA from 1 species
GAUGUCGACUUGGAGGUUGUUCCCUUGAGGAGUGGCUUCCGGAGCUAACGCGUUAAGUCGACCGCCUGGGGAGUACGGCCGCAAGGUUAAAACUCAAAUGAAUUGACGGGGGCCCGCACAAGCGGUGGAGCAUGUGGUUUAAUUCGAUGCAACGCGAAGAACCUUACCUACUCUUGACAUCCACGGAAUUUGGCAGAGAUGCCUUAGUGCCUUCGGGAACCGUGAGACAGGUGCUGCAUGGCUGUCGUCAGCUCGUGUUGUGAAAUGUUGGGUUAAGUCCCGCAACGAGCGCAACCCUUAUCCUUUGUUGCCAGCGAUUCGGUCGGGAACUCAAAGGAGACUGCCAGUGAUAAACUGGAGGAAGGUGGGGAUGACGUCAAGUCAUCAUGGCCCUUACGAGUAGGGCUACACACGUGCUACAAUGGCAUAUACAAAGAGAAGCGACCUCGCGAGAGCAAGCGGACCUCAUAAAGUAUGUCGUAGUCCGGAUUGGAGUCUGCAACUCGACUCCAUGAAGUCGGAAUCGCUAGUAAUCGUGGAUCAGAAUGCCACGGUGAAUACGUUCCCGGGCCUUGUACACACCGCCCGUCACACCAUGGGAGUGGGUUGCAAAAGAAGUAGGUAGCUUAACCUUCGGGAGGGCGCUUACCACUUUGUGAUUCAUGACUGGGGUGAAGUCGUAACAAGGUAACCGUAGGGGAACCUGCGGUUG